rnacentral:rRNA from 1 species
CAGUAGCCACGGGAAUACGAAGGGGGCUAGCGUUGCUCGGAAUGACUGGGCGUAAAGGGCGCGUAGGCGGAUGGCACAGUCAGAUGUGAAAUUCCCGGGCUUAACCUGGGGGCUGCAUUUGAUACGUGUUGUCUAGAGUGAGGAAGAGGGUCGUGGAAUUCCCAGUGUAGAGGUGAAAUUCGUAGAUAUUGGGAAGAACACCGGUGGCGAAGGCGGCGACCUGGUCCUUUACUGACGCUGAGGCGCGAAAGCGUGGGGAGCAAACAGGAUUAGAUACCCCUGUAGUCCCUGUCUCUUAUAA